rnacentral:misc_RNA from 1 species
CAACCAUCAAGCCCUGCUUGCGUUGGGGUCCUGCGGCUGCCCGCAGGCCCUGAAAACCAGUGGCGGGCUCGCUAGUCACACCGAGCGCAGUAAUACAUCUCGCUCUGGGCGUGCGGCGGGUUCUUGCCGUUAAACACCCCCUUUUACCCAA